rnacentral:tRNA from 1 species
AUUAGGAUCUGCUACUUAAGCAAUUGGGCCCAUGCCCCAAAAACGGUGGACCACCACCUCCUAAUA